rnacentral:lncRNA from 13 species
UUGGGAGGCUGAGGUGGGCGGAUCACCUGAGGUUGGGACUUUGAGGCCAGCCUGACCAACGUGGAGAAACUCUGUCUCUACUGAAAAUACAAAAUUAGCCGGGCAUGGUGGCAGGUGCCUUGUAAUCCCAGCUACUCAGGAGGCUGAGGCAGGAGAAUCACUUGAAUCCAGGAGGCGGAAGUUGCCAUGAGCCGAGAUCGCGCCACUGCACUCCAGCCUGGGCAACAAGAGCAACAUUCCAUCUCAAAAAAAAAAGUCUCUACCAAAGUUGUACUUAUGUUGAAGACCUUUUCUAACAUUCUGUACCCAUUGCGUCACCGAAAAGAAACUUCACAAAAUUAAAGUGAAUAAACAGCGCUCAUCCAUUCCCUAGGAGAGAAUGUGGGCUGACCUCUCAGCCCGCUGUGCUGCAGCCUGGCUGUUCAACACAAAUCUGUGAGGAAGACCAGUGUUGACAAAGCCACUGACAUAAUUGCAGAAAUGAAAGCUGACAAUAGAAACCAUAAUGUCAAUAUCCAUUACCCUGACUGAUCAAUGUGACGGUGUUGCAAAGCCAUCUUCCACUCCAUCAUCCAUGUCUUCAGCUACAACCCCAGGAGUGAUUGAAAACAACAGCCUACAUACAGCACAGCAGUUCCUCAAGAGUUUACACACAGCUUCCCAUCCAGCUCGGCAGUUCUACUCCUGGGUACGUGCCCGGAAGAAAUAAAGACAUGUAUUUAAACCGAAACUUGCACACAGAUGUUUAUAGCAGCAUGCAUCACAAUCACCAAAAGGUGGAAAUAACACAAAGGUCUGUCGAAGGAUGAAGGGAUAAGCAAAAUGGUGUGCAUCUAGGCAAUGGAAUGUCAGUUGAUCAUAAAAAGAAAGUUCUGUACAUGCUACGACACGGGUGCCCCAUGGAUGGAGC